GCGAUACCGCGAAUGGCUCAAUAUAUCAGUUUUGGUUCCUUAGAUCUUACUCAGUUACUUGGAUAACUGUGGUAAUUCUAGAGCUAAUACAUGCAAUCAGAGCUCUGACCAGUGAUGGAAUGAGUGCUUUUAUUAGAUCAAAACCAAUCGACGGAGGGCCUCGCGUCCGAUGUCGUUCAUUUUGAUGAAUCUGGAUAACUUUUGCCGAUCGCAUGGUCCUGUACCGGCGACGCAUCUUUCAAAUGUCUGCCUUAUCAACUUUCGAUGGUAGUUAUGCGACUACCAUGGUUGUCACGGGUAACGGGGAAUCAGGGUUCGAUUCCGGAGAGGGAGCCUGAGAAACGGCUACCACAUCCAAGGAAGGCAGCAGGCGCGCAAAUUACCCACUCCGGCACGGGGAGGUAGUGACGAAAAAUAACGAUACGGGACUCUUACGAGGCCUCGUAAUCGGAAUGAGUACCUUAAAUAUUUUAACGAGGAACAAUUGGAGGGCAAGUCUGGUGCCAGCAGCCGCGUAAUUCCAGCUCCAAUAGCGUAUACUAAAUUGUUGCGUUAAAAAGCUCGUAGUUNAUU
rnacentral:rRNA from 1 species